CAGCAUAGCCGAGGCCAGGGGCCUUGUGUCAGAUAGCAUUAGCUCUCGCUAGUGUUAACAUUAUGCUAGCUGGUCACCAGGAAAGAUUUUCAACACAUACAGUACGUAAGAUGCAUACAUUAUAGCAAUCUAAUUCAUCUUUUAGACAAGUUAUUUGUCGAGUUUCACGAAGUACGUCGCCGGGAAUAAGAGAGAAGUUACUGGUGAACUGCAGGUAUUUUUUAAAUUGUCCAUUAUACAGUGGUACCGUGUCCUUUUGCUUUGAACAGCUAGCUAAAAUUUGUUUUAGCUAGCAUAGCCAGCAUAGCCGAGGACAGGGGCCUUGUGUCAGGUAGCAUUAGCUCUCGCUAGUGUUAACAUUAUGCUAGCUGGUCACCAGGAAAGAUUUUCAACACAUACAGUACGUAAGAUACAUACAUUAUAGCAAUCUAAUUCAUCUUUUUGACAAGUUAUUUGUGAUUGUGAGUCGAGUUUUCACCAAGUACGUCGCCGGGAAGAAGAGAGAAGUUACUGGUGAACUGCAGUGUGGGAGAAGAAAGUUAUGGUGCGUUCAAGGAACAUGGAGUAGAACAAGUCGCCGCUACAUGUUGCGUGGGGCCACUCUACACAUCCCAUAAUGAGCAGCCAGGCACAGAGAGGAUGCUCCAUAAAGUCUGCCUGACAGGCAGAAGACUCACUGGAUAAAAGAAGACAAACCUUACAGAUGCGGUGGAGUGUGCAAUAUUGCAAAAGCAAUGAAUACAUUUUCAGUAAACAACUUGAGAACCAAACUCAGUCUGGGUCCAUUGUGCAUUACCAAGGAACAAAUGGAAAUCAAUUUGAGAGGAUCAGUGUUGUGCAGCUUCAAGCUGUUUGAGGACAACCGGAUCAGAAAAUGCCAAAACACAAAACGCUAUACGGAUAUUUUCUGAAUGUACAAUAAAAUAUAUGUACUGUAAAUGAACUGAAUGAAUGAAUGAUUGAUUCUAGCUUCCUCCUUAUUGCUGGAGUGAGAAGAGUUAGCGGGUAACAGAUGGCAGCCUGAUCGCAGCCUGAGCUCUCUCAGAUGAUUCUUCAUUACCUAUAAACAUGCAUGCGGCAAAAUGUCCUGCAGCAAGUGCUAUGCUAAUAAGACUUCCUGCUGAAUCUGAGGUCUCCUGCGCAGACAUAUGGGAAGAGAAAAUCCUUGCAUCACUAUGCCAAAAUGGAGUGCCUUGUGCCCUGUAGCCAGAUAAUAAUGAUAUGGGCAUGCGUUUUAUAACACAUACCUUACAUCAGGGCCCCAGACCAUACUGUGUGGUCCCUUACUUGGCAUUAAUGUGGAGGGUUAGCGCAGACACAUAAAGAAUGUGGCUACAAGAGAUAGCAAAUGCCACUUUUCGCUUGCUUAAAGUAAUAGAACAUUUAAUUAGGCAAGCAAUAACCAACACUGAGCUUGUCACACAGUAAACUAACAUGGGAGUCACAAAUAAUGCAUAAGGCUAAAAAUAACCAAUUACCUAAAAAUUGAUGAAGAGUCUUCAUCCAAGGAUGAAGAGUCUUGAACCAGUCAUGAUGUGCUAUAUAUAUCACUAUAUUGACACUUACUA